rnacentral:rRNA from 1 species
AUUUAAUUAAAUUUUUGAAUAAAUUUUAUAUGUAAAUCAAUUAUUAAGUUUAAAAAUAUUGGCAGUGUUUUAUUAAAUUCUGAGAAUCUUGCAUAAUUAAAGUGAUGAUACACAGUUUAUCUUAUCUUAAUUUUUGGUUUAUGUAUUGCUGUUUAAUUUAUGAUUUAAAAGUAAUAAGUUUAAUUAAUUUUUGUUAAGAAGUUCAAGUCAAAAUGUAAUUUUAUUAAGGUUUAUGUGAGUUGUGUUUUCUAAGAGUAGAGUAAUAAAGAAGAUUGAAAUAUUUUUAUUAAAGUAGAAUUAGGGUGUAAAAAGAGAAUAAUUUGUUCUUUUGAUAAUUUUUAUAAUCAUGU